rnacentral:lncRNA from 1 species
UUUUGGCUGGAUUCAGAAAAAAUAAAUUUUACAGAAUUAAUUUUAUUUUAAAAAAUUAAUUUUGAUUAAAAGCUGUAAAGCGUUUGGCUGAGUUUAAAUAAAAAUAAUUUUUCUGAAAUAAUUUUAUAAAGUUAUUUGGCAAAAAAAGUUUGGCAUUUGAAAAUAAUAAUAGUUUUACUAAAUUUUAUUUUAAAAUAAUUUAAAUUUUUGAAUUAAAAUUUAAAAUUUAUACAAAAUUUAAAAUUUCAUAUUUUAAUUUAAAAAUAAAUUUGAAAAUUUAAAAUUUACAAUUUACAAUUUGAAUUUUUAAAGCUAAAGAUAAAUUUUCAAUUUCAAAUUUAAAAUCCAAGCUAAUAUUUGACAUUUGAAAUUUAAAUUUUAGGAAUUUAAAAUUUUAAAAUAUGAAAUAUAAAAUUUAAAAUUUAAAAAUAAAUUUAAAAUUUUAAAAUUAAAAUUUUAAAUUUAAAAAUAAAAAAUUUGAAUUUUAAAAAAUUAAAAUUUGUAAUUUGAAAAAUUAACAUAUAAUUUAAAAUUUUAAAUUUUAUCCGAAAUUUGAAAUUUAAAAUUUAAAAUUUUAAAAUUUACAAUUUUAGAUUUAAAUUUAAAAUUUAAAAUUUAAUAUCUAAAUUUUAAAUUUUAAAAGUUGAAAGUUAAAAAUUCAAAAAUAAAUUUAAAAUUUAAAUUAAAAAUUAAAUUUAAAUUUAAACUUAAACUUUUGAAUCGAAAAUUCAAAUAAAAACUUGAAGUUUGAGUCCAAAAUCAGAAUCAUGUUUCAAGAGUUAAAUUUUAACUGUUUCCGAUUUUGAGCCUUGAAAAUUAAAAAAUUGAUUCUAAAAUUUAGGAUCAAAUUUUGAAAAAAAAAAUUAUCAAAUGGUCUAUUGAGCUGAAAAUUACUUUUGAAUUCAAAGCUAUUUUUUCAGAAGUUAGACCAAACACCCCUUUGUCAGAAAUCUUCUCCAGUAGAAAUUCUC